UACAUGGGGUGCAAACGUUGCUCGGAAUCAUUGGGCGUAAAGCGCGCGUAGGCGGUUACUUAAGUCGGAUGUGAAAGCCCUCGGCUUAACCGAGGAAGUGCAUCCGAAACUGAGUAGCUAGAGUACUAAAGAGGGUCGCGGAAUUCCCGGUGUAGAGGUGAAAUUCGUAGAUAUCGGGAGGAACACCGGUGGCGAAGGCGGCGACCUGGGUAGAUACUGACGCUGAGGCGCGAAAGCGUGGGGAGCAAACGGGG
rnacentral:rRNA from 1 species